UACGUAGGUCCCGAGCGUUGUCCGGAUUUAUUGGGCGUAAAGCGAGCGCAGGUGGUUUAUUAAGUCUGGUGUAAAAGGCAGUGGCUCAACCAUUGUAUGCAUUGGAAACUGGUAGAUUUGAGUGCAGGAGAGGAGAGUGGAAUUCCAUGUGUAGCGGUGAAAUGCGUAGAUAUAUGGAGGAACGCCGGUGGCGAAAGCGGCUCUCUGGCCUGUAACUGACACUGAGGCUCGAAAGCGUGGGGAGCAAACAGG
rnacentral:rRNA from 1 species